CAAAAAUCUACAAGGAUCACUGAUAAUUUGUUGAUCAGCAUUAGGUUCAUUAAAUCUAUGCACUUCAUUAUCUGAUUAAUUCAGAGGCAGGUUUGUAAUCAGUGGUGAAAUGUUUAAGAUUCUUCUGCUCUGGCCUCCACAACCUCCUGCAGCUCAUUAGAAAAGCUAAUCAGAUUGAAUUUUCCACCAUGCUGUUUAUUGUAGCCCUAAUGGAAGACAAUCACUUUAAAAUUACACUCUUGGCAGGUAAUUUCUAAAAGCCGUAAGCCAUGCAAGCUCUCUUCUCCCUGUGCUCUUUGUCUUCUUUACUAGGGUAAGGGCAGCUGAAUCGGGGAAUGCAGCAGGGACAGGCAGCAGCUGUGUGAGAAACCCUGUUAUUCCGCCUAUUUGGGAACAAAUCCUUUCACUAAAGUGAAGAACCAAAGCUGGGAGCCAGAUGCAAGUUGCUCCUGGAGAUGAACUUUGCCCUUGUGUGUUACUGGCAGAUCCUUUUAACAUGUUCUAAAUUAAUUAGAAACUGUUUGAAAUCUGAAUUCUGUCUAUAUUCUGCAAUAUCCAAGGAAUCCUGAACAUAAGGAGUGGCCUGUUGGACCAGCACAGAGGUCCAUCUUGCCCACUACUCUCUCCUUUCCGUGGCAAUAGAGGUUGCUCUAUUGAGGAACCAGUACAUAAGUUCCUGGUAUAUUGAAAUUCUAUCUGAAAGGAAAUUCCUGCUGCUGCUUUGAGUCUGUACAGCAGCAUGUCAUGACUGCCAGCAACUUACCCAGGCGAGAUGCAAUAUGGUUUCAUAGCCCUUGUUCAAAACCAGGAGAUGCACCAGUGUUAGCACCACAGGAUCUACUCUGGAUCAGCCUGAAACUAGAUACUGAAAGGAUCCAGGACACUGGCAACAGGUAUGUGAAACAUGCCUAGCUCUGUGUAAACUUCUCAGACACCUUGUUGUAAUAAAGGAUUUCAACAUGAAGUGGCAACUUGUGAGGACAGCUGCACUCAACAGUGAUUUCUUAAGAACUGGCUGGGCUAUUGUUAGUUGUAGUGUGGGUGGUAUUUUUGUCCUUGUCAAAGGAAAUGUGGAUUAAUUUAUAAUUAUCCCAGAUAAUUCUGACACUGUCUUACAAGCUAUAAAUUCGUGGAUUAAAAUUACAUAUAAUCAAUUUGGAA